GCUCAGGAAAAACGCAAGAGACGUGCCUAACACAUGCAAAUUUAAUGGUUAAUAAAUUUAACCAUAGUGAAUUGGUGAGUAAAAUAUGAAAAUUUAAUUUUAGAUUAGAAGUAUUUCUAAUAACUUAGAAGUAAUCUCUGAUAAGUGCAUAUAUAUGUUACUUUUAAAAAGUUAAUACUGUCUAAAAAAAAGUUCAUACCUGAUUAGCUAGUUAGUAAUAUAAAAAUUUACUAAGGCGAAGAUCAGUAGCUGCCCUGAGAGGGGAACCAGCCACAUUGGGAUUGAAAUACAGCCCAAACUUCUACGGGAGGCUGCAGUGGGGAAUCUUCUGCAAUGAGCGCAAGCUUGACAGAGCGUCGUCACGUGAAGGAAGACAGCUUAUUUUUUAGUUGUAAACUUCUUUUACUUAAAAGUGAAUAUUGACACUUAAGUAAAUAAAGUAUCGGCAAACUCCGUGCCAGCAGCCGCGGUAAAACGGGGGAUACAAGCGUUAUCCGGAAUUACUGGGCGUAAAGCGUAUGUA
rnacentral:rRNA from 1 species